CCUACGGGAGGCAGCAGUGGGGAAUUUUGGACAAUGGGCGAAAGCCUGAUCCAGCCAUUCCGCGUGAGUGAAGAAGGCCUUCGGGUUGUAAAGCUCUUUCGCAAGGGAAGAAAACUUAGGCGCUAAUAUCGCUUGAGGUUGACGGUACCUUGAUAAGAAGCACCGGCUAACUACGUGCCAGCAGCCGCGGUAAUACGUAGGGUGCGAGCGUUAAUCGGAAUUACUGGGCGUAAAGCGUGCGCAGGCGGUUUUGCAAGUCAGAUGUGAAAUCCCCGAGCUCAACUUGGGAACUGCGUUUGAAACUACAAGACUAGAAUAUGUCAGAGGGGGGUAGAAUUCCACGUGUAGCAGUGAAAUGCGUAGAGAUGUGGAGGAAUACCAAUGGCGAAGGCAGCCCCCUGGGAUAAUAUUGACGCUCAUGCACGAAAGCGUGGGGAGCAAACAGGAUUAGAUACCCUGGUAGUCCACGCCCUAAACGAUGUCUACUAGUUGUUGGUGGGGUAAAAUCCAUGAGUAACGCAGCUAACGCGUGAAGUAGACCGCCUGGGGAGUACGGUCGCAAGAUUAAAACUCAAAUGAAUUGACGGGGGCCCGCACAAGCGGUGGAUUAUGUGGAUUAAUUCGAUGCAACGCGAAAAACCUUACCUGGCCUUGACAUGUAACGAACUUUCCAGAGAUGGAUUGGUGCUCGAAAGAGAACGUUAACACAGGUGCUGCAUGGCUGUCGUCGGCUCGUGUCGUGAGAUGUUGGGUUAAGUCCCGCAACGAGCGCAACCCUUGCCAUUAAUUGCCAUCAUUUAGUUGGGCACUUUAAUGGGACUGCCGGUGACAAACCGGAGGAAGGUGGGGAUGACGUCAAGUCCUCAUGGCCCUUAUGGCCAGGGCUUCACACGUAAUACAAUGGUCGGUACAGAGGGUUGCCAACCCGCGAGGGGGAGCCAAUCCCAGAAAGCCGAUCGUAGUCCGGAUUGUAGUCUGCAACUCGACUACAUGAAGUCGGAAUCGCUAGUAAUCGCGGAUCAGCAUGUCGCGGUGAAUACGUUCCCGGGCCUUGUACACACCGCCCGU
rnacentral:rRNA from 1 species